UACGUAGGUGGCAAGCGUUGUCCGGAAUUAUUGGGCGUAAAGCGCGCGCAGGCGGUCGAUCAAGUCGAGUGUGAAAGCCCCCGGCUCAACUGGGGAGGGUCAUUCGAUACUGAUCGACUCGAAGGCAGGAGAGGGUAGUGGAAUUCCCGGUGUAGUGGUGAAAUGCGUAGAUAUCGGGAGGAACACCAGUGGCGAAGGCGACUACCUGGCCUGUUCUUGACGCUGAGGAGCGAAAGCGUGGGGAGCAAACAGGG
rnacentral:rRNA from 1 species